UACGUAGGGUGCGAGCGUUGUCCGGAUUUAUUGGGCGUAAAGAGCUUGUAGGUGGCUCGUCGCGUCGGGAGUGAAAACCCGCGGCUUAACCGCGGGCCUGCUUUCGAUACGGGCGGGCUAGAGUUCGGCAGGGGAGACUGGAAUUCCUGGUGUAGCGGUGGAAUGCGCAGAUAUCAGGAGGAACACCGGUGGCGAAGGCGGGUCUCUGGGCCGAUACUGACACUGAGAAGCGAAAGCGUGGGGAGCGAACAGG
rnacentral:rRNA from 1 species